AUUGAACGCUGGCGGCAUGCUUUACACAUGCAAGUCGAACGGUAACAGGCCGCAAGGUGCUGACGAGUGGCGAACGGGUGAGUAAUGCAUCGGAACGUGCCCAGUCGUGGGGGAUAACGCAGCGAAAGCUGCGCUAAUACCGCAUACGAUCUAUGGAUGAAAGCGGGGGACCGUAAGGCCUCGCGCGAUUGGAGCGGCCGAUGUCAGAUUAGGUAGUUGGUGGGGUAAAGGCUCACCAAGCCAACGAUCUGUAGCUGGUCUGAGAGGACGACCAGCCACACUGGGACUGAGACACGGCCCAGACUCCUACGGGAGGCAGCAGUGGGGAAUUUUGGACAAUGGGCGCAAGCCUGAUCCAGCAAUGCCGCGUGCAGGAAGAAGGCCUCGGGUUGUAAACUGCUUUUUGUACGGAACGAAACGGUCUGGGUUAAUACCCUGGGCUAAUGACGGUACCGUAAGAAUAAGCACCGGCUAACUACGUGCCAGCAGCCGCGGUAAUACGUAGGGUGCGAGCGUUAAUCGGAAUUACUGGGCGUAAAGCGUGCGCAGGCGGUUUUGUAAGACAGGCGUGAAAUCCCGGGCUUAACCUGGGAAUUGCGCUUGUGACUGCAAGGCUGGAGUGCGGCAGAGGGGGAUGGAAUUCCGCGUGUAGCAGUGAAAUGCGUAGAUAUGCGGAGGAACACCGAUGGCGAAGGCAAUCCCCUGGGCCUGCACUGACGCUCAUGCACGAAAAGCGUGGGGGAGCAAAACAGGAUUANAUACCCUGGUAG
rnacentral:rRNA from 1 species